UCCGGUUUGUCACCGGCAGUCGUCUCCGAGUGCCCAACUCAAUGCUGGCAACAGAGACCAAGGGUUGCGCUCGUUGCGGGACUUAACCCAACAUCUCACGACACGAGCUGACGACAACCAUGCACCACCUGUCUCCUCUGGCCUGCCCUUCCAGGCAGGCCUACGACAUCUCUGCCGUAUUCAGAGGGAUGUCAAGACCUGGUAAGGUUCUUCGCGUUGCUUCGAAUUAAACCACAUGCUCCACUGCUUGUGCGGGUCCCCGUCAAUUCCUUUGAGUUUCAGUCUUGCGACCGUACUCCCCAGGCGGAAUGCUUAAUGUGUUAACUUCGGCACCAAGGAGUGAACCCCCCUGACACCUAGCAUUCAUCGUUUACGGCGUGGACUAC
rnacentral:misc_RNA from 1 species